UACGGGGGGAGCAAGCGUUGUUCGGAUUUACUGGGCGUAAAGGGCGCGUAGGCGGCCAGCACAAGUCAGUUGUGAAAUCUCCGAGCUUAACUCGGAAAGGUCAACUGAUACUGUGCGGCUAGAGUGCGGAAGGGGCAACUGGAAUUCUUGGUGUAGCGGUGAAAUGCGUAGAUAUCAAGAGGAACACCUGCGGCGAAGGCGGGUCGC
rnacentral:rRNA from 1 species